UUGUUAAACAAUUUCGGUUAAAUAGAAUGUUGUAAAAAAAAAUAAAAAAAGAAAUCUAAAAAAAAUAGAGAGACAAAAUUAAAAUUGAAUUAAGACUAAUUAAUUUGUUGAGAUUUUAAGUAAUGAAGUUACUAUGAAAAUUAAUUAUCUUUAUUUGCUUAUCCUGUAUAUGAGUAUCAGCUUGAAACUAUCUGCAUUUUUUGUGUUCCCUCCUCCAUCAUUUGCUGAGGAGCCUCAAGACACAUGGUUCUUUAACUUAUCAUCAUUCUCAUCAUCUAAUCUUAGUUGUGUUGCAAACCAACAUCCAGUGUCAGUUUCUUAUCAGUGGAUGUAUGAAACAGAAAUUGUGUCAAAGUUUACAAAUUUUACUCAUAUACAAGUAGAGAAGUAUGGUGCAUAUGUUUGCCUUCUCUCAAACUCUUUUGGAACAGUAAGAAGUCGCACAGCACUAGUUAAAAAACCUGUGAUUAAAUAUCAAGAAAUUACUGAUUUUCAUAAAAACAUUAUAAAUGGAGGUUAUUUAUUUUUACCGUCUCUGGAAGUUUAUGAGAGCGUUCCACAAAUUACUGAAGUAUUUUGGAGAAAAAAAACUAAAUUUCAGGAGUGGGAAAUUCUUCAAAAAGAUUUAUACACAAAAAAUGGCAGUUUGCUUAUUCGAAGCAUUAAUUCCGAAGAACACAAUACAAGUUUUAGUUAUAUUAUCAAACAAAAGAACGAUUACUUGAUAGUUGGCUACACUGUUACUGUUAACAUAACAAAUAAUACGAUUUCACCUAACUUGAGACAAUGUGAAAACAGAAGUCUUGUUUUGGUAGAACUAUCACCUCAUGUUAUAGUCUAUGCUGGAGAAAACAUAUCGAUGGAGUGUUUAGCAUUUUUUUAUUAUUGCAGUUUUCCUCCAGCUAUUUCUUGGUAUUAUCCAAAUGUUACAAAUGAAAUUUCAAAAUUCAAACCUAUUUAUAAUAUUUUCAACAGCAGACUUUCAGAUAGUGGUAACUAUACUUGUAAAGUAAGAGCAUCCAACUAUAAACUUCAAACAAUUGUAACUGUUUUAGUAAAGCCAAGUUUAUAUAUCACUUCUGAAUCUGUAACAGUUUAUAUUAAAAAUGUUGCUCCAAUCUCGUUGGAUAUAAUUGCAUUAACAUCUAGUGUUGGUCUGAAAAGAUUUAAAUGGUAUUUUAAUGGAAAACCUUUGCCUGUAAAUUCAAAAUACAGUUAUACUUCAGAUUACAAAUUAAUAGUUAAUCAACCAGUUGAAUCUGAUUCUGGAAUUUAUCAAGUGUUUUAUUUUUUUGAUGGAUUUGAAUUAAAGCAUGCCUUUAAUGCAUUUUUUGUUAACGUGAUUCCUUAUCCUCCAUCUUUUGCUGAGGAGCCUCAAGAUACAUGGUUUUUUAACUCACCAUCAAUCUCAUCAGCUAAUCUUAGUUGCGUUGCAAACCAUCAUCCAGUUACAGUUUCUGUUCAGUGGAUGUAUGAAACAGAAAUUGUGUCAAAGUUUACAAAUAUAACUCAUAUACAAGUAGAUAAGUAUGGUGCAUAUACUUGUUUUCUUUCAAAUUCUUUUGGAAUAGUAAGAAGUCGUACAGCACAAGUUAAAAAACCUGUUAUUGAUUAUCAAGAAAUUAAAGAUUUUCAUACAAACAUUAUAAAUGGAAGUUAUUUGUUUUUACCGUCUCUAAAAGUUUAUGAGAGCGUUCCACCAGUUGCUGAAAUAUUUUGGAGAAAAAAAACUAAAUCUGAGAAGUGGGAAGUUCUUCAAAAAGAUUUAUACACAAAAAAUGGUAGUUUGCUUAUUCGAAGCGUUAAUUCUGAAGAACACAACACAAGUUUUAGUUAUAUUAUCAAACAAAAAAACAAUCACUCAGUAGUUGGCUACACUGUUACUGUUAACAUAACAAAGGUUUCACUUAACUCGAAACAAUGUGUAAACAGUGGUCUUACUUUAAUAGAAGUUCCUGCUCAUGUUACAGCCUAUGCUGGAGAAAAUAUAUCUAUUGAGUGUUUAGGAGUUUAUUAUUAUUGCAGUUUUCCUCCAGCUAUUACUUGGUAUUAUAAUUAUUCAAGUGUUAAAAAUGAAAUUCCAAAAGCCAAAGCUGUUCUUCAUAUUUCUAACAGUAGACUUUCAGAUAGUGGUAACUAUAUUUGUGAAGUAAGAGGAUUUGACUAUAAACUUCAAACAAAUGUAACUGUUUUAGAAAAACCAAGUCUAAAUAUCACAUCUGAAUCUGUAACAAUUUAUAUCAAAGAUGGUGCUCCAAUCACAUUGGAUAAAAUAGCAUUAACAUCAACUGUUGGUCUGAAAAGUUUUGAAUGGUAUUUUAAUGGAAAAAAUUUGUCUAGAAACUCAAAAUACAAUUAUACUUCAGAUUACAAACUAAUAGUUAAUCAACCUGUUGAAUCUGAUUCUGGAAUUUAUCAAGUGUUUUAUUUUUUUGAUGGAUUUGAAUUAAAGCAUUCUUUCAAUGCAUUUUUUGUUAACGAUAAAUUUGUUACAGUCACCAAGUUGCUUACUUCAACAUUAACUUUAUCUAGUAGAGUUUUAACAACAAAUUUUAAAACCUUAUCCCAUUCUACUGAUGCUGUAAAAGUCUCUAUUUUUUCAUUGAACAAAUCUACUUGUCUUAUUAUUUCAUCUGGUCAUUCGGUAGCAAUCAAUUCUAGUCAAUCAUUAGCAAUUAUAUUACCAUCUCUUGUUCCUAAAAAAGAGCUUAUAAAAAAAGGUUCAUUAAUAAUUAGCCUGUCUAUUGGAAGUGCUGUUUUGGUUAUUGGUUUGUUGAUUGGCCUAAUUAUGAGAAAACGUUGCUUUAUAAAAAAAGGUACUAAAAAGAAAGAAAUUAAAGGAAUGGAAAUGUCAGAAAAGAAAGUAUUUUGUGCAACUACAUCAGAAGCAGAAUGUGGUUAUGUAGCUAUACAACCAAAACCCCAAAGUUUGUAUGAAUCUUAUGUAUUGAGAAAUAGUUCAAUCUUGAAUUCUAAAUAUAUAUCUCAAGAAAAUCCAUAUUAUGAAUGAAUUUUUGCUGGUGGAACUUUACGUUUUUUUACAUUCUUCAAAUGAUUAUCCAGCUAAUCCACUGAUGCCGUUUUCUGCGCAAUAUUUGCUAAGUAUUUAUAAGUUUUAAACGUUAUUAUAGUUUUUAUAUAAAGAGUUGUCAUAUGAGGUUUUUAUAAGAGAAGUUUGAUUUUGUUAUGCUGGAUUUUAAUAAAUUUUUUAUAUGUAGGUAUAGCAAAAUUACAGAAGAAUGAAGUUUUUCUGUAUUUAUUUUUCUUAAACGCGUUCAAGUUAAAACUAUUAAUUUUUUUCCCUGUAGAUUAUUUUAUAAUAGUUGUAAUAAUAUAAAUUUAAAACGUAAUUGUAGUUUUAAUUGUGUUUUUAUACUGUCCCCAAAUGAUCAUGAAAAGUGUACUGUAGCAUAUUGGUUAAGUUAUCAUGGUAUUUUUGCCGGGCAUCACAUCAUAAAUCAUUGAUAUUUUGAUAUCUAAAACUUUUCUUGAAUAUUUGUUUAGAUGUUUUAAAACAACAAUAUCUAUUAAAGAAAAAAUAUAUAUAUAUAUGAGAAUAUUUGAAAACUAAUGAAAAUAUGUAUAUGACAAUAGGUUCUCAGCCAAACUUUUUAAAUAUUGGUUAGUUAAAUACAGUAGUUACAAUUAAUUAACAUAUACUUUCACUGUUGCAUAAAAAUUGCACAAAACUACCUUGAGCUGAUCCGAGAAAACUUUUUUGAUAGGCAGUCUGCUCUGAUAAGAAAGAACACAGUAUCCACAAAAUAUUCAUCUUCUUCAAUUUGCAAUAUACCUUAUGUUCUUAUGCAAACCAUACGAACUUUUUAAAUUUUUCGGUUGUUUAUAUUAAUGAGUUUUAAUAUUAUAAUAAAUAAAAAUUUUAUUUUUUGGUUUAAUUAGCUAAAAAAUGCAGCUAAAUAUGAAUGUGGUAGAUUUCCUUCCAACAAGACUCAAACAAUUACUACAUCUUUACCCGCCUUAAAAUGACAUAAGGGUCCCUUAAGGGGUAAGGGUAAAUUAAGGGCAAAUUUUUUUCGACUUUUUUUUUUUGCUUAUCUUACUUUUUUAAUAAAGUUUAAUUUAUAUUAAUCAAUUUUAAACAUUAAAGUUUGUUUAUGGCAAAUUCUAAUAAGGAAUUGGUAAGGGCAAAAUCAGGGCCCUUAGUCGACUUAAAUUUUACUAAAUCUUAAAAACUCAGAAGGAAAACAUUUUACGGAAUGAUUUUUUUAAAUGCGCUGUUGUCAAAAUUAAUAAAUUGUCAAAAAGCUUUAAUUUAUUGAUAAAAAAAAAAAAUUAAUAAAAAUGAUGUUAUUUAUCGAUCGUAGCAUGGUUAUUGUUCAUCCUUAUCCUUCCAUUUAAAAUGGUAUAGGUAUCUAUACUCUGACUAAUAUGAUUGUAACUGGUGUAAAGAUUGUAAAUAAAUGUGUUUGUUUUAAAAAAGGUAAUGACUGUGUAAUGAGUUAAUCAUUUUAAUGUAAUGAUAAUUUUGUUUUUAUGUCAUAAUAGAUUUAAUGUUGUAUGUAUAUAAAUAUAAUGAUACUUAAACAAUUUGAAUUGUGUUUAACAAAGUAUGUUAAAGAACCAGUAUUGUUUUAAAAUUUUGCACUAAAAUUAGAUAUAACUAAUAUAUUACUACAAUAAAUAUUUUAAACAUUUUAGGACAAAAAAGCAUAUCUAAAAUGUCUUUUUCUUUCAACAUUUUUUUUUAUUGUAUCUUCAAAAUUAGUUAGUAAUAAUUUUGAACUGUUACUGAUUUUACAUAAUUUAGUAAUAAUUUAAAUAUGUGAUGGAGUCUUAAUUUGUUUUAAUUUAUUGUUUAUCUGAUAAAUCAAUAUCAAUUGUUCAUGCUGAUGAUGUUGUUGGAUGGAAUUUUGAAGAAUUCAAAAAAAUAAAAAUUUGUAAAAGAGUUGAAUUAAUGGUGAUAAACAACAAUAGUAUAAUAAAGGCUCAGCAUACCCAGGAUACUGUUGUUAAAUCAGCUUUAAAGCCCCUGCCACUGCUAAAAACUUUAUGUUAAGUAAUUAUGCCAAUGUUAUUUAAAUGAUUUUUUUAAUUAAUGUAUCAAGUUUCACUUUUUUACAAAUAUCCAAACAUCAUCAAGUGUAUGUAAUGUAAUUUUAUAAACAGAUAAUUCUGCUAUAAUAUUUCAAAUGAUAAGUUUUUGAUAUUUGAUAAUUAUUACAGCUUUUUAUCGUUUUAGUGUUGCUCUCCAAUAGUUGUCAAAUAAAAUAAAUUAUCUUUUCUUUUUCUAAACCUUAAAGGUAAAAUAAAUAUACUUAAUAUUGCUUUAUUCUAGUUUUAUUGCAUCAGAACAUAACUUAUUUUAAAAUUGCUGUUUAUGAUAUUUUGAGAUUUUUUUUUAUGUUAUUGAUACAUAUUUUUUAAAGAUUUCUAGUUUGCAAUUACCUGCAUCUAUCCAGGCAACUGCAAUUUUUUAAAAAUUGUAAUAUACUUCUAUAUCUUUCACAUAAAAAGUUUGAUUAUGUUAAUAUCUUUUUAAUUUCAAAGCAUUUCAAGCGUUCCUCAGACAGAUAAUCAGUCAAAAAAGAUCAACAGGCCUGGAACACAUGGCAAAAGUUUUUUAAUCACCUGGAAAAUCUGCUUAAAAAUGAGUGAAAUUUAGAGCUACUUUGAAAAAUUCGGAUAUAAAAAAUAUAUUAAUAUUAAAUUUUAAAUAGCAGUCUUGUGAGUAUCCCAUUUGACUUGUAAUCACUGAAACAAUAAAAUGAAGUAACGAAAGUUGUUAAUCUAUUGUUAUUAACAAUUUACUUAUAUGUAUAUGUAUAUUUAUAAUGUCGGUGUGAUUAUAUGUAGUCUCUUAAAUAAAAAGUAAUUAUGAUAAUCACUUAUAAUUAAUACUGAAUUUAACGGUGCUGCUGCUGCUCAUUCGUGCAUGUUUACACAAACUUUUUUACCAUUUAUUAUAAAUACGAUUUAGCAUGCUCCUUCUUUUUAUACUUUUGAACUCAAGCAAUGUGGUACUCUCAAAUCUUAAUAACCUGUCAAUAUCUGCUUUAUCUGUAAUAAGAUCAAAAACUUUACAUCACCAGCUUAAUUAGUGGAAAGAUUGACAAUUUUUGUUUGAUAACUUCUUUAGUAAAGGAUGAAUCUUAUGUUAUUUUUAAAUUAGUAAAGUAACUUUUAAAGUCAGGUAAUUUAUUUAAUUCAUGCAUUAUAAUAAUAACACAAUUCAAGCCCUUUGUCAAUUGUAUUUAAAAAAUACUAAU